rnacentral:rRNA from 1 species
GACGUAGGGCGCAAGCGUUGUCCGGAUUUAUUGGGCGUAAAGAGCGUGUAGGCGGCCAGGUAGGUCCGCUGUGAAAACUCGAGGCUCAACCUCGAGAUGUCGGCGGAAACCAUCUGGCUAGAGUCCGGAAGAGGAGAGUGGAAUUCCUGGUGUAGCGGUGAAAUGCGCAGAUAUCAGGAAGAACACCCGUGGCGAAGGCGGCUCUCUGGGACGGUACUGACGCUGAGACGCGAAAGCGUGGGGAGCGAACAGG